rnacentral:rRNA from 1 species
UACGGGGGGAGCAAGCGUUGUUCGGAUUUACUGGGCGUAAAGGGCGCGUAGGCGGCCACCGCAAGUCGACUGUGAAAUCUCCGGGCUUAACCCGGAAAGGUCAGCCGAUACUGCGGGGCUAGAGUGCAGAAGGGGCAACUGGAAUUCUCGGUGUAGCGGUGAAAUGCGUAGAUAUCGGAAGGAACAUCAGUGGCGAAAGCGGCUUCCUGGACCAGUACCGACGUUCAGGCACGAAAGCGUGGGGAGCAAACAGG